UGAAAGUUUUAGUUUAUUAACUUGUUUAUCAGACGUCUGCGUUUACUGACGGAGUUGAGUUCCUUUGGCCGAGCCGCCAAAGCAACAGAGUACGUUCACAAAGGGAGAGUCAGCCAAGCCCAAAACUCGGUAAUGAUCUUCCGUAGGUGAACCUGCGGAAGGAUCAUUACCGAGUUUUCGGGCUUCGGCUCGACUCUCCCACCCUUUGUGAACGUACCUCUGUUGCUUUGGCGGCUCCGGCCGCCAAAGGACCUCCAAACUCCAGUCAGUAAACGCAGACGUCUGAUAAACAAGUUAAUAAACUAAAACUUUCAACAACGGAUCUCUUGGUUCUGGCAUCGAUGAAGAACGCAGCGAAAUGCGAUAAGUAAUGUGAAUUGCAGAAUUCAGUGAAUCAUCGAAUCUUUGAACGCACAUUGCGCCCCUUGGUAUUCCGGGGGGCAUGCCUGUUCGAGCGUCAUUACAACCCUCAAGCUCUGCUUGGAAUUGGGCACCGUCCUCACUGCGGACGCGCCUCAAAGACCUCGGCGGUGGCUGUUCAGCCCUCAAGCGUAGUAGAAUACACCUCGCUUUGGAGUGGUUGGCGUCGCCCGCCGGACGAACCUUCUGAACUUUUCUCAAGGUUGACCUCGGAUCAGGUAGGGAUACCCGCUGAACUUAAGCAUAUCAAUAAACGGAGG
rnacentral:rRNA from 1 species